UCUCAGACACAGAAUGUUGAUCCUGCCCUGUGCUUUACUUUGUCCUGGCUUCUGCCUGUACUGGUUUCUCGUCAUUACUCUAGCGAUCUGCACCUCUGACUCUCUCUGUUCAGCCUCUGCCAAAGUGACCUGCUGCCAGUCAUCUUUCAUCUUCCUCGAGCCCAGCCAUCUCCACUCUACCCCACCUGAGUUCGCUGGCUAUAAUCACCUGUCUCAGCUUAUCUUCGGUUCCUCCAUCUGCCCUGCAUUGCCACCUCUAGCUCCCCAUCUGUGGACCCCUCGAACUCUGCCUCCUCUGGCGGACAUUUCCAGCAUAUUGACUGUUAUCUCUAUAACUUGUUUUCUCAGUGCAGUAAAAUUUGUGAUCAGUAUCACACCUGCCAUCUGGGUCCAGCCUGUUCGCUGAUUCGCUUCUGCGAGUGCUGACCAUAACACAGUUGCAUAUCAUGUCUGUGAUUCCACGCUGCCUCUGAACAGUGUACAGGUCCUCCAUGGAGGGCAGGCUCAC